rnacentral:rRNA from 1 species
GACGAACGCUGGCGGCGUGCUUAACACAUGCAAGUCGAACGGAACCUUCGGGUUUAGUGGCGAACGGGUGAGUAAAGCGCAGGUAAUCUGCCGCAAAGACGGGGACAACGUUCCGAAAGGGACGCUAAUACCGGAUGUUGUGGUGAUGUCGCAUGAUGUUGCCAUUAAAGAUUUAUCGCUUUGCGAGGAGCCUGCGUCCGAUUAGGCAGUUGGUGGUGUAAUGGACCACCAAACCGACGAUCGGUAGCCGGUCUGAGAGGAUGAACGGCCACAAUGGAACUGAGACACGGUCCAUACUCC